rnacentral:rRNA from 1 species
GCUAAAUACUACUUGGUGACCGAUAGCGUAUAGUACCGUGAGGGAAAGGUGAAAAGAACCCCGGGAGGGGAGUGAAAGAGAACCUGAAACCCUAUGUUUACAAGCAGACAAAGCACGUUAAGGUGCGAUGUCGUACUUUUUGUAGAACGGUCCGGCGAGUUAUUUUAUAUGGCAAGGUUAAGUACUAAAGGUACGGAGCCGAAGAGAAAUCGAGUCUGAAGAGGGCGAAUAAGUCAUAUGAAAUAGACCCGAAACCGAGUGACCUAUCCAUGUCCAGGCUGAAGCUUGAGUAAAAUCAAGUGGAGGGCCGAACUCAUAGACGUUAAAAAGUCUCGGGAUGAGGUGUGGAUAGCGGAGAAAUUCCAAUCGAACUCGGAGAUAGCUGGUUCUCCUCGAAAUAGUUUUAGGACUAGCCUUGUUUUAAUAGCACGUGGGGGUAGAGCACUGAAUGAGGUAGGGGCCAACAAGGUUACUGAACUCUAUCAAACUACGAAUACCAUGUGUGGAAGAACAGGAGUCAGACUGCGGGAGCUAAGUUCCGUGGUCAAAAGGGAAAGAGCCCAGAUCGUCAAUUAAGGUCCCAAAGAUAUAGUUAAGUGGAAAACGAUGUGAUUUUGCGUAAACAACCAGGAUGUUGGCUUAGAAGCAGCCAUUCAUUCAAAGAGUGCGUAAUAGCUCACUGGUCGAGUGAAGUUGCGCGGAAAAUUACCGGGGCUAAACUAUACACCGAAAUUGCGGAUUUGCAUAGAAAUAUGUAAGUGGUAGAGGAGCAUUCUAUAGUAGGACGAAGCAUAAUCGAAAGGAUAUGUGGACGAGAUAGAAGAGAGAAUGCCGGAAUAAGUAGCGAAAGCAUGGUGAGAAUCCAUGCCAUCGAAAGUCUAAGGUUUCCUGGGGAAGGUUCGUCCGCCCAGGGUAAGUCGGGACCUAAGGAGAGGCCGAAAAGCGUAUCCGAUGGACAGCAGGUAGAAAUUCCUGCACUACGUAAUACUUAAAAGACAUAAAUGACACAGGAGUGGAAGAUAAGCGAGGAAGAGGAAAAACUCGUAUCGAAAGAUAUAGUGAAAUUAAAGUAACGAAUUAUCAAGAAGCUAAUGGCGAGAAAAGUUUAUGGAUAUUGUAUUAAGUACCCGUACCGCAAACCGACACAGGUAGAUGAGGAGAAGAUCCUAAGAUGAGCGAGAGAAGCAUUGUUAAGGAACUCGGCAAACUGACCCCGUAACUUCGGAAUAAGGGGUGCUGGAGUAGAAUCCAGUCGCAGAGAAUAGUCCCAAGCAACUGUUUAACAAAAACACAGGUUUCUGCUAAAUCGAAAGAUGAAGUAUAGGAGCUGACACCUGCCCAGUGCUGGAAGGUUAAGGGAAAGAGUUAGGAGUAAUCCGAAGCUUAGAACUAAAGCCCCAGUGAACGGCGGCCGUAACUAUAACGGUCCUAAGGUAGCGAAAUUCCUUGUCAGGUAAGUUCUGACCCGCACGAAAGGUGUAAUGAUUUGGGAGCUGUCUCGACAAUGUACUCGGCGAAAUUGUAGUACUAGUGAAGAUGCUAGUUACCUGCGACAAGACAGAAAGACCCCAUGGAGCUUUACUGCAGCUUGAUACUGGGUUUCGGUAAUUUAUGUACAGGAUAGGUGGGAUGCUAAGAAGUAUGUGCGCCAGCGCAUAUGGAGCAGACGUUGGGAUACCACCCUUAAAUUACUGGAAUUCUAACUAUAAGUCCUAAGCGGGCUUGAGGACAAUGUCAGGCGGGCAGUUUGACUGGGGCGGUCGCCUCCUAAAGAGUAACGGAGGCGCGCAAAGGUUUCCUCAGCGCGGACAGAAAUCGCGCGAAAGAGUGCAAAGGCAGAAGGAAGCUUAACUGAGAGACAGACAUGUCGACCAGAUACGAAAGUAGGUCUUAGUGAUCCGGUGUUGUGGCCGUAGAGAGUGCCAUCGCUUCUUCGCAGGACGGUGUUCACACAGCCCAUUUUCUUUGCCGUGGGGGACAGCUCGGAAAGGUAGGGAAUGACCUCUUUUUUAUAGGGAAUGGUUACAUUGAGUCCACAGAGAUUGGGGUUUUCUUCAAUCACUUCCAUGAAGUCUUCGAUGCGGGGAAUCUCGAAGUUCACAUAUUCGGCGUCAAUGUUCUCUGCUUUAAAUUUCUCGUUGAAGUAGCCGAUUGAAAACGAAUGUCGCAAGGGGUAGCCGAUUAAACCGUAUUUUUCCAUGACACGAAAGGAUUAAAUUAAUUAUUCAUCAUUCUUCAUUAUUUACAUAUCGCGCACCCCUGACACUUGUUCAGUUCACCGCGGAAACGUUUCUCUACCAGUUUAUGCAAACGGUCUUUCAACGCCUCCAAGCGUACAUGGUCGAUCACGUCGGAAGUGAAAGCCAC